rnacentral:misc_RNA from 1 species
GAGAAAAGAAAAAAAAAAAGAAUUCUGCUAAAAAUUCAAUUACAAAUGAAUAAGGUUUGGUAUAGCAUUUAUCAGAACUUAAAAUUUCAAUCAUUUAUAUUUGGACAAGAGAGAGAACAGCAGAGAGAGAGGAUUGACAAGAACAAAGAAUACCAAUUCAUUUACAACUUCUAUUAAUUUGAUGAAGUUUGUGACAAGUGAAAUGAGCUCCAUAUAAAACUAAAAAUGUCGAAUUGUAAUUGUAAAUGAAUUCAUUAGUCAUUACUAGGUAAAACAUAACGAGGAUGCAAAUAUUUGUGAAUUCCAUAAUAAAAAAAAAAUACUUUUCCAAACUUUAUGAUAGUCAUCAUGAAAUGAAAAAAGACUGCAAUUAUACCAGCCACUGAAAUGAUAAAAAUAUGAGAUAGUAAAACAAUUAAUGAUUUACAAUGAAACAUGGACAUAAGAGUUAGGUGGUAGCUGGGUGUUAGCCAUGUUGCAAUGGCAACAUUUAACUCGAGCAAUUCCUAUCAAUCCAUCCUACCCUGUACAAGUGGGGGUUGGAUAUACAGCUUCUAGCAUAUUCAGGUCUGAUUAGGGUAAACAUUUGAUCCAAGUGAACCAAGUUCCAAUCAAACCCCUAUCGACACUUAUAGCACCUACAGCUAGAAUAAAACAUAUCCUAUUAUAUCCAUUGAUUAUAAUUGGCAACUUAAUGAAAUCUUAUUCUUGUCAAUUCUCUAAUUCAAUUUCAUAUCAGCGUGAACAAUAGUCUGCACAUCACCUAUUUUCAAUAUUUUUGCAUUGUUACCAACAUUCAAAUGAUAUAUUAUGGACUUCAAUAAAAAAUCUCAAUCCAAGAAUAGUGGUGCCUAUGUCCCAUAUAAGAUUUAACAACAAUUCCACUCUGACCUCUCCUCAUGCAUAUAAGUACAAGGGUAACAGGUACUUGGGUUUCACUGAACAUCAAUUUUCUCUCACCCUUACCUUCCCUUGUUUUAAAUAUGAUCUUAAACUGGUUUUCCCACCAUUCUAAUCCUAAGACAUUGAAAUCUGGAGAAAACAUAUAAUCAAACAUGCAAUUGAAAAUUGUUAAGCAUGGUUAGAAACAUAACUACAGAAAUGGAAAUAAAAGGAGCAAUAGAUGAUCUACAAAAUAAUUACUCAGAAAGCAAAACCUUAACAUUAAAUGCACAUCUUCAGUCUAUGCAUUGUUACAUGGAAAGAAUUUAGAAGCUUUUGGCUAUUAAUUGAAGAACCAAAAUUGAAGUGUCAAGAACAAGUUAUGGAAUUGUGGUCAUCUUUUUCAAAAAUCAAAGUUUAAAUCCUAGAAGUCAAGGCAUCAGCAUGAUCUGUUCUCUCUCAUUUCAAUACCCUGCACCAAUGCAAAUAAUUCAAUGUGGAAUUACACUUGAAUUUUACUUUUUCAGACUUCACUCUGGUGGUUCUGCUAUUAUCACCACAGCCAAAUGAUACUGUAGCCUAUGGAAAGUUCAUAAUUUAAGAAAGUAAAAAGGCACACACCAAGCAUUAUCUCUUCCUAAAAUCUAAAAGCAAUACUCAAGUAAGAAUGAAUUUCAAAAUCUGUUCAUGUCUGCUGCUUCUUAUUAGUCAAAAGAAAACUCCUAAUCACCUAAAUUCACUCUCUUGAAUGUCUUUUCUGUUCUUCUUUCUCCCCCACCAUUAUUUACUGAUAUUUCGGUCAGAUUAUUACUAAUUUUGUCUCAACAUGAGAUCUUUCUAAACUUUUUUUCAGGUUUUCUUUCCUAAUCUAAAAAACUCAAAGCACACUGAUAACUCGUGUCUUUAUUGGUUCAACCUCAAAAAUCACACAAAUACCAAACUCCCAACACUAGUCACUAUCAGCCUUUACUGCAUUUCAAUUACAAAAUAUGCAAAAUCCGUCAACAAACUAACAAACAGAGACUAACAGAUCCACAAAAUUUACAGUAUUGUCCAGUGGUAAACCUUAGUCUUUCAAUUAUACCAAACCAUUUUCUUCUCUAUCUCAUCUUCCUUUUUCCUCCUUUGACCCAAUCAGCAAAUUCUAGUGGAACUUUUUCCUUUUCAGCAGCAGUGCUGCCCAAUUUGCCACUGGAUUCACCAGCUACACUGUCAACCACCAACAUAGCUGCAUGAAGCUCUGCAUAUUUAAGAAGGCAUGCACCCUUUUGUAUAUAAAGGCUCAACAGUCCUAUUAUCAGGGAAACUUUAUAUUUUUAAAACUUGUGACUAGCUUUUUGGUUACAUACAAAAUCGGAAACAAACACUAACACAAAUGUGAAUUUUCAACAUAAUUAAAACAUUAAAAAACUAUUUGCGAAUCAACUCCUUAAGUUCAAUCGUAUUGUUUGGUGAGGAAUAUGGUGUGUGACACAAUCAAAGCAACAUAACAUACCAAAACUCUCCAUGAUUCUCCAUUUAAAAUGUUCCCAACUAUUUUAAACAUGCACUUGUUUAUAUAAUUAUUUGUGGAGAGUCUUGAUUUCCAAAUUUUCUGUAUUUCAAUUCGCUUUAGUUAGAAGAAGACAAGGGAAGUUUUCAUACUCAGAAAAGGAUCACCUGUCUUCCUCUUCUCACUCACAAAAUAUAAUUAACAAUUAUUAUGCUCCAAUUAUAACAAUAUGCUACUCAAGCGUAGCGCUGGAUGUCCAUAAGGCAUUCUAGUAUAUGUCAUUAGUGAUAACUGAUAACAAAGUCUAUGGGAAUCCUACCUUUUCUUCCACCAUAGUGAGGAGCAGUA